CAGGUCACUCCUACGGGAGGCAGCAGUGGGGAAUUUUGGACAAUGGGGGCAACCCUGAUCCAGCCAUGCCGCGUGCGGGAAGAAGGCCUUCGGGUUGUAAACCGCUUUUAGCCGGGACGAAAGCUGUACGGAUAACACCCGUGCGGGUUGACGGUACCGGCGGAAUAAGCACCGGCUAACUACGUGCCAGCAGCCGCGGUAAUACGUAGGGUGCGAGCGUUAAUCGGAAUUACUGGGCGUAAAGCGUGCGCAGGCGGUUCGUUGUGUCGGCGGUGAAAGCCCGGAGCUCAACUCCGGAAUUGCCAUUGAAACUGUUUGGCUCGAGUACGAGAGAGGUGAGUGGAAUUCCCAGUGUAGAGGUGAAAUUCGUAGAUAUUGGGAAGAACACCGGUGGCGAAGGCGGCUCACUGGCUCGUAACUGACGCUGAGACGCGAAAGCGUGGGGAGCAAACAGGAUUAGAUACCCUGGUAGUCCACGCUGUAAACGAUGGGUGCUAGUUGUGGCGGGUUUUGACCCCUGCCGUGACGCAGCUAACGCAAUAAGCACCCCGCCUGGGAAGUACGGCCGCAAGGCUGAAACUUAAAGGAAUUGACG
rnacentral:rRNA from 1 species